UACGAAGGGGGCUAGCGUUGCUCGGAAUUACUGGGCGUAAAGCGUGCGUAGGUGGUUCGUUAAGUCUGAUGUGAAAGCCCUGGGCUCAACCUGGGAAUGGCAUUGGAAACUGGCGACCUAGAGUGCGGUAGAGGGUAGUGGAAUUCCCGGUGUAGCAGUGAAAUGCGUAGAUAUUGGGAAGAACACCUGAGGCGAAGGCGGGUUGCUGGGCCGACACUGACGCUGAGGCGCGAAAGCGUGGGGAGCAAACAGGAUUAGAUACC
rnacentral:rRNA from 1 species